AGGGGUGUAGCUCGAACGGCUAGAGCACCGGACUCCAAAUCCGGGGGAUGGGGGUUCGAAUCCCUCCACCCCUGCCA
rnacentral:tRNA from 1 species